rnacentral:rRNA from 1 species
AUACGGAGGGGGUUAGCGUUGUUCGGAAUUACUGGGCGUAAAGCGUACGUAGGCGGAUUGGAAAGUAGAGGGUGAAAUCCCAGGGCUCAACCCUGGAACUGCCUUCUAAACUAUCAGUCUAGAGUUCGAGAGAGGUGAGUGGAACUCCAAGUGUAGAGGUGAAAUUCGUAGAUAUUUGGAGGAACACCAGUGGCGAAGGCGGCUCACUGGCUCGAUACUGACGCUGAGGUACGAAAGUGUGGGGAGCAAACAGGAUUAGAUACCCUGGUAGUCCACACCGUAAACGAUGAAUGCCAGACGUCGGGGGGCUUGCCCUUCGGUGUCACACCUAACGGAUUAAGCAUUCCGCCUGGGGAGUACGGUCGCAAGAUUAAA